CAGUAGCCGCGGUAAUACGUAGGUGGCAAGCGUUGUCCGGAAUUAUUGGGCGUAAAGGGCUCGCAGGCGGUUUCUUAAGUCUGACGUGAAAGCCCCCGGCUCAACCGGGGAGGGUCAUUGGAAACUGGGAAACUUGAGUGCAGAAGAGGAGAGUGGAAUUCCACGUGUAGCGGUGAAAUGCGUAGAGAUGUGGAGGAACACCAGUGGCGAAGGCGACUCUCUGGUCUGUAACUGACGCUGAGGAGCGAAAGCGUGGGGAGCGAACAGGAUUAGAUACCCCGGUAGUCCCUGUCUCUUAUAC
rnacentral:rRNA from 1 species